rnacentral:lncRNA from 1 species
AUGAGUUCAGUUGUCGCCAAUGUUUUCCUUUUAAACGUCUUAGCCCGGGCUUUGGCGUUAAGCUCCAGUUCAUCCGCCCCUACCGUGUCGGGGGUGAAAGGGGCCGACGGGUUUUCGGUUUUCCGAGGGAAUCCACCGUGCUCCCCAGCCGCCGGCCGUACGUGCGGGCUGCAGACUCGGCCGCCGGCGGGCGCGCGGCGCGCACUAGGACCCAGCAGGGCUCCGGGCCCGGGUGGGAGCCGCGCCGCCGACCCCGGGCGGGCGCCGGGGCUGGAGCCGGGGUUCCGGCCGCGAUCGGCUGCAGCUCGGCCGGGAGACGGCGCGACCCGGCGGCGGGGCCACCCGCGAGUCCAGCGCCGCCGCAGCCCCCCAAUGCGGCCGCGAGAAGCAGCGGGGGGGCAGGCGAUCGAAGCCACUAGACGUGUCAUCUCCGAGAAGACCGGCGUUCUCUUGACCAUGGAGGCCUCUCUGUCCUUUCUGUGACUGGAGCAAUGGUGACCUCGGUUUCCUGGACCCAUUCUGACUCAGGAGCCUUCACGUAAAUGGGUCCAGUCAUGCCUCCCAGUAAGAAGCCAGAAAGCUCAGGAAUUAGCGUCUCGAGUGGGCUGAGUCAGUGUUACCGGGGCAGCAGCUUCUCCAAGGCCCUGCAGGAAGACGAUGACCUCGAUUUUUCUCUGCCUGACAUCCGAUUAGAGGAGGGGGCCAUGGAAGAUGAAGAGCUGACCAACCUGAACUGGCUGCACGAGAGCAAGAACUUGCUAAAGAGCUUUGGGGACUCCGUCCUGAGGAGCGUCAGCCCCGUCCAGGACCUGGACGACGACACGCCCCCGUCCCCCGCCCACUCUGACAUGCCCUACGAUGCCAGGCAGAACCCCAACUGCAAGCCCCCCUACUCCUUCAGCUGCCUCAUAUUUAUGGCCAUCGAGGACUCUCCAACCAAGCGCCUGCCAGUGAAGGAUAUUUACAACUGGAUCUUGGAACAUUUCCCGUAUUUUGCGAACGCACCUACUGGGUGGAAAAACUCAGUGAGACAUAAUUUGUCAUUGAACAAGUGUUUUAAGAAAGUGGACAAAGAGAGGAGUCAGAGUAUCGGGAAGGGGUCAUUGUGGUGCAUAGACCCAGAGUAUAGACAAAAUCUAAUUCAGGCUUUGAAAAAGACACCUUAUCACUCACACUCGAAUGUGUUCAAUACACCUCCCGCCUCUCCUCAGGCAUAUCAAAGGUAAGCCAUUCAGACUUUUUUUGGUUUUCAUUUUCGUUUUGGUCCAUUGGUGUUGCAUUAUUUUGGCAGAGACCGUCACUGAAACUUACUGACGAGUCUGUAUGACUUGGACAAUAACUGUAGAUAAAUGAGACCGAAGUUAAGCACCCUGGGAGGCAUGUCCGUGGCUGUAUUUUCUGCAAACCUUACCGCUUCUGCCGCUUGGGAGGGUGUGUCUCCUUCCCGAAGGCUUCCUGGUGGGUGGAAUGAUGUCUUCCUGGGUGGAAGCGUUUGCAGAGGAAAGUCGGCAGCUUCGUUGUCUGAGCGAGGGGCAGUUUGUUAGGAUGGGAGUCCAGGAUUGAGACAGGUAAGCAGUUCCAUCUUCCCAUCAUCUGAGCGAGAGGGUCUCCAGGUGUUCUGGUGAAGGACGCACUGAGCUGUUGCCGUCCCUGUCUCCAUGGAGACGGUGCUUCAGGGCGAUCGUUUUGUUGUGGUUACUUGGUGUUUACUUGGUGUUUGAAGCAGAACAGCAACAGCCAAGAACAGUCGAGACUUGGAUUGCCCGUCACCACCCCAUUUGUUUUAAAACUUUGAGGUCCUGGGUGCCAUUUUCACAGAGAUGUAAUUGGAGGGGAGGGGAUGUCACCUGUCACUGGAGAGAAAAAAAAAAAAA